rnacentral:rRNA from 1 species
AGGACGAACGCUGGCGGCGUGCUUCAUACAUGCAAGUCGAACGAGAAUCUGACUUCGGUCAGAGGAAAGUGGCGGACGGGUGAGUAAAAUGUAGAGAAUCUGCCCUAGAGAGAGGGACAACAGUUGGAAACGACUGCUAAUACCUCAUAUGCGCGUAGCUGAGAUGCUAUUCGUGAAAACUCCGGUGCUCUGGGAUGAGUCUGCAUCUGAUUAGCUAGUUGGCGGUGUAAUGGACCACCAAGGCGACGAUCAGUAGCUGGUUUGAGAGGAUGAUCAGCCACAAUGGGACUGAGACACGGCCCAUACUCCUACGGGAGGCAGCAGUAGGGAAUUUUGCGCAAUGGGGGAAACCCUGACGCAAGCAACGCCGCGUGAUUGAAUAAGCCCUUCGGGGUGUAAAGAUCUGUCAGUAGGGACGAAACUUGACGGUACCUACAGAGGAAGCAUCGGCUAACUCCGUGCCAGCAGCCGC